UCGGUUUCCAACGGCGCGGCCCUCGCUAGCCAGACCUUCCGUUGCUGGCGGCAGACCGGCCGUAGUGGUGCGCAAGUCGGAGCCUGGCCUCGAUGCUUUGAUCCUGGAGUGGAGGGAUCUUGAUGCCGUUCAUUCGGGUCGAGUUUGUGUUGCGUAUUUGAGCGUUGUGGUUUGUGUACAUACAAGGGUGAACUAGAUGAUACCCUCCGUGUUGCUUCGGGAAUCGAUUGUUACACACAUAUACAUGUUUUAUUUUAAUAAGAUUUUAGACCACCUAGAG
rnacentral:lncRNA from 1 species